rnacentral:rRNA from 1 species
GUGGGGAAUAUUGGACAAUGGGCGAAAGCCUGAUCCAGCCAUGCCGCGUGUGUGAAGAAGGUCUUCGGAUUGUAAAGCACUUUAAGUUGGGAGGAAGGGCAGUAAGUUAAUACCUUGCUGUUUUGACGUUACCGACAGAAUAAGCACCGGCUAACUUCGUGCCAGCAGCCGCGGUAAUACGAAGGGUGCAAGCGUUAAUCGGAAUUACUGGGCGUAAAGCGCGCGUAGGUGGUUUUGUAAGUUGGAGGUGAAAUCCCCGGGCUCAACCAUGGAACUGACUCCAAAACUGCAUGACUAGAGGACGGUAGAGGAUAGUGGAAUUUGCUGUGUAGCAGUGAAAUGCGUAGAUAUAGGAAGGAACACCAGUCGCGAAGGCGACUACCUGGACUGAUACUGACACUGAGGUGCGAAAGCGUGGGGAGCAAACAGGAUUAGAAACCCCUGUAGUCC